AUGUCUCGGUAGUCCGUGCUUUCGUCUGCCAACUUCGUGUCGCAACGUGUCUGCCGGUAUUUUCAGAAAAUUCCGAGUUUUCAACGAAAAUUCACUGGACAAUUUCGGUUCGGGCGUUGAGGUGAUUUGGGCAGGUGGAGUGCGAGUUUCGGGAAUUGGUGCUGACUAAUCCAAUAACCGUCAAUCUCAUAAUGCUCUUUUGAAGAACUCGACUUAUAAUUUUUUUGAAAAAUGUUAUCAAGAAGCGCCCCGAAGAGAAAGAGUAUUUAUUGGGAUUUCGCUCAUUUCAAUCUUUUCAUUUCGUGAAAUCGGCAUCGAAAUAUUUGGGAAACAUCUUCACAUUUUGGAGGUUCGUUGGUGAUACUGAAAUCGAAGUUCGU